UCCGUAGGUGAACCUGCGGAAGGAUCAUUAUUGAAAACAAUUGUAAAAGAAGGGUUGAGCUGGCUCUUAAUUGGGCAAGUGCUUGCCUUUCUUUUCAAUCUUCAUCCACCUGUGCACUUUUUUGUAGGAAGUCUGGGAAAACAGUACCGGGCUUUCUAUGUCUUUUUUCACACACACACAUUGUAUGUCAUUGAAUGUCUUUUAUUGAAAGAGGGGCUUGAUUGACCCUUUUACAACAAAAAAACUAUACAACUUUCAGCAACGGAUCUCUUGGUUCUCGCAUCGAUGAAGAACGCAGCGAAAUGCGAUAAGUAAUGUGAAUUGCAGAAUUCAGUGAAUCAUCGAAUCUUUGAACGCACCUUGCACCUCUUGGUAUUCCGAGAGGUAUGCCUGUUUGAGUGUCAUUAAAUUCUCAACCUCGAAAACUUUUUUCUGGUUUCUGAGGCUUGGAUGUGGAGGCUUUUGCUGGCUUGUUCAGAGCUGGCUCCUCUUAAAUGCAUUAGUGGAAAAAUUAGCUUUGUAGUCCGCAUUGGUGUGAUAAUUAUCAGCGCCGUUGUAUUCGUGGCUACAGACUCUCGUGGUGUUUCGUUUGGGAAGCUUGCAUGAACUUGCUCUUUCUGUUCUACUCUUGAAACCUGUGAGAGUUGCCAGUAAUUCGCUUCAAACUGUCCUAAGUUAACUGGACAACACUUGACUAUUUUGACCUCAAAUCAGGUAGGACUACCCGCUGAACUUAAGCAUAUCAAUAAGCGGAGGA
rnacentral:sRNA from 1 species